AUUGCCUUAGUAGCGGCGAGUGAAGCGGCAAAAGCUCAAAUUUGAAAUCUGGCACCUUCGGUGUCCGAGUUGUAAUUUGAAGAUUGUAACCUUGGGGUUGGCUCUUGUCUAUGUUUCUUGGAACAGGACGUCACAGAGGGUGAGAAUCCCGUGCGAUGAGAUGCCCAAUCCUAUGUAAGGUGCUUUCGAAGAGUCGAGUUGUUUGGGAAUGCAGCUCUAAGUGGGUGGUAAAUUCCAUCUAAAGCUAAAUAUUGGCGAGAGACCGAUAGCGAACAAGUACAGUGAUGGAAAGAUGAAAAGAACUUUGAAAAGAGAGUGAAAAAGUACGUGAAAUUGUUGAAAGGGAAGGGUUUGAGAUCAGACUCGAUAUUUUGUGAGCCUUGCCUUCGUGGCGGGGUGACCCGCAGCUUAUCGGGCCAGCAUCGGUUUGGGCGGUAGGAUAAUGGCGUAGGAAUGUGACUUUGCUUCGGUGAAGUGUUAUAGCCUGCGUUGAUGCUGCCUGCCUAGACCGA
rnacentral:rRNA from 1 species